rnacentral:rRNA from 1 species
CAGUCGCCACGGGAACACGGAGGGGGCUAGCGUUGCUCGGAAUGACUGGGCGUAAAGGGCGCGUAGGCGGCGAUCAAAGUCAGGCGUGAAAUCCCCGGGCUUAACCUGGGAACUGCAUUUGUGACUGGCAAGCUAGAGUAUGGCAGAGGGGGGUGGAAUUCCGCGUGUAGCAGUGAAAUGCGUAGAUAUGCGGAGGAACACCGAUGGCGAAGGCAGCCCCCUGGGCCAAUACUGACGCUCAUGCACGAAAGCGUGGGGAGCAAACAGGAUUAGAUACCCCGGUAGUCCCUGUCUCUUAUAC